CUCAAGAAGCAAGGAAACAAAUUCUCCCAUAAAGCCUCCGAAAGGAAGACAGAGCUGUUGACACCUAGAUUUUAGAUCAGAGAGACCCAUUCUGGACUUCUACCUACAGAACUCUAUUCUUACCAAUAUGAGAGGUACCUGGACAAGAACGAAAUACUCCUUAGACAUUCCUCUGGCAAAUGAUAUAGCCCUAUUUCUGAAGUUUCUCCCUAUGGCGCUUAUGAAAUAGAACACUGAGCAUCUAGAGUCAAGAUUCAGCAAAGACAUCAAAAUUUAAGGACUGGAAGACAGAGAUUGGAAGAAAUUUUGAUAUUGGCUUUGGCACUACCUAACUAUAAAGCCUCUAAACAUUACUUCCUCAUCUAUAAACCUGGGAAGAUUUCAGCUCUGCCUUCUACAGUUAGCGCAAGAAAAAUUCAAAUGAGGCUUUUUUUCGAGGCUGGGAAUCUCAUUUUGUUGGGAUGCAUCUAGACAUGGAUGCAAAGUGGCCUUUCAUGGGAUGUUUUGGACAGUUAUGUGCCAAAGAGGCAUGAGAAAAGCAUCUGAGGUCCUAAAAACAAGCCUCAUUCUAGCCUAGGCAUGGGCAAACAGGCACUAAGCCAGAAUUAAUGGAAGUUACAUGCCAUAAAGGUGGAGAAGUCUGACCUGUCUGGACAAUCUUUCUAUUUGGUCCGUGGUACGCAUCUUUAUCUACCGACAGCUUGCUUGGGUGCAGAUUGUGGAGACCUUUUAAAGAAAGGUGUAGACGAUGCUGGCUGCAAUGCACAGGACAGUUUCGAGAGAAAGGAUUUGGAAUUCGCCUUUAGGGGGAGAACACAGGUCAACAGUUCAUUUGCCUGAAGGCUUCAAGGACUUCUCAUGACAGCAACCAUGCAGCUCUUAACCAUUUGGAAGGCAGCUGGAUGGAUACUCGGGAUAAAAAAUUUCUGUAAACCCAUUGAGUCUGCUUCAGUCAUAUAAUGGGGGUUGGGAGAGCAGAGGCUCUGACCCACAUAUAAUGACUACUGAGGGACAAGGAUGUAAGAAGACCUUUAGGACAUGAUGCUGGAAUGCUGGCAGAAGGUCACCUGAACAAGGAUGUUACCAGAAUAAAAAUUUGCAAAGAAAACCAAUAGAACGUAAAACAAUGAAUUCAAAUGUCAUAUGAUUAAUGAAUAUGGUUCAUGAAUUGCAACAAGGUACUGUACUAAUGCACAUUAAUAGAGAAAACUGCGUGUUGGGAGGUGUAAUGUGGGAACUCUACCUUGUGCAUGAUUUUUCUGUAAACCUACAAAUGUUACAAAAUAUUGAAAAAUGAAAUUUAUGUUAAAUUAAAAUUAAUAAAAAAAGCUCACCCCCCCAAAAA